rnacentral:rRNA from 1 species
UACGUAGGGAGCUAGCGUUGUCCGGAAUCAUUGGGCGUAAAGCGCGCGUAGGCGGCCCGGUAAGUCCGCUGUGAAAGUCAAAGGCUCAACCUUUGAAUGUCAGCGGAUACUGCCGGGCUAGAGUCCGGAAGAGGCGAGUGGAACUCCUGGUGUAGCGGUGGAAUGCGCAGAUAUCAGGAAGAACACCAACGGCGAAGGCGGGUCUCUGGGCAGUAACUGACGCUGAGGAGCGAAAGCGUGGGGAGCGAACAGG